AUCCCCAGCAAAACCCGAUAAUCGAUUCGCCGAUAGUAAUUUUCUGAUGGUCAUAUAAUUUAACAGCAUAAUUAAUUGUUUUUCACUAAGUGUAUAAUAAUAAUUUAUAUAUCAGAUUAAAGAGAAUAAAAUUUUCUUUAUUAUGGUUUGUACUUCAUGAAAAUCUAUAAAGGAUAAGUGUUAUAAAUCGUUGCUUAAUUAUUGAACAAUGCGGAUUAUCGGCAUUUUCACACGUCCGCGGUAGAGUGCAAUAUGGUGGACACGGUUUGGUGACGGUGGGUAUUUUCCACAUGUUUUGCGGUGACGUAAAUCCUAAUGAAUAUUUAUGAAGUUAAAUUAACCAAUCAGAGGAGGAAUUCCCCUUCAUGAUGAUGCAACUUCCGUUAAAAUCGGCUUGUAAACAAUUGUGAUACAAAGGACCAAAGUCUACGUGAAUUUGUCUGAAUCUUAAUCGGUGUAUUUCAGUUGUAAUACAGAUAAGUGCCAUCUGAUGGGAGGAUAUCAGAAUGGACUUCCCUGGCCCUUAUUGCGAGCAAGUUGGUUUAACUUGCCAGGCUUUGAAUGACUCUACCAUUCAGCCCAUAACACAAGAACGUCUGACCAAUGGACUUGUUCUUGAAUUAAGAUUGUAUGCAAACAAGGUGAAUCGUCCAUUAAACAUACUAUUUGAGUGGUUGAGACUGUUACAGCCAACAGAAUCAAAUGACAGUACGCUGAAGUACCGGAUAAAAAAUGCCAGUGAAAUCAGCAAAAAGUUGAACGGAAAAAAAAAAAGUCAAAGGCUUUUCAAACUUAGCAGAAUUUAAAUCAUCAGC